rnacentral:rRNA from 1 species
UACGAAGGGGGCUAGCGUUGUUCGGAAUUACUGGGCGUAAAGCGCACGUAGGCGGAUUGUUAAGUCAGAGGUGAAAUCCCGGAGCUCAACUUCGGAACUGCCUUUGAUAUUGGCAAUCUAGAGUCCGGAAGAGGUUAGUGGAAUUCCCAGUGUAGAGGUGAAAUUCGUAGAUAUUGGGAAGAACACCAGUGGCGAAGGCGGCUAACUGGUCCGGUACUGACGCUGAGGUGCGAAAGCGUGGGGAGCAAACAGG